AGGGCACCAAGAAACAGAAAUCGCCAAUUUAUGUGCCAACCUAGGGACCCCAGCCAUUCUUGGAUGUGUGAGAUUGGAAAAUCGCCGCCGCCAUGGAAAGCUGAUGCGGUCGCGCCUCAAUCCACGGAUUGGAAACCCAGAGCAUCACCAGUCGAUAGUACAACUUUUCAUGGCGGUGUUGGUCACGAGGGUCCAUCAUUGUGCCCAGAAUUUCUCACCAAUGCACAGCGCCGCCGCGGAUCCACCCUCUACCAUGGACGGGACUCUCUGCGCCACAAUAGCCGGUGAGGAUUGCUC
rnacentral:lncRNA from 7 species